GCUACGGGUGGCAGCAGUGGGGAAUAUUGCACAAUGGGGGAAACCCUGAUGCAGCGACGCCGCGUGAGUGAAGAAGUAAUUCGUUACGUAAAGCUCUAUCAGCAGGGAAGAAACACUGACCUUACGGUCAGCAGACGGUACCUGAGUAAGAAGCCCCGGCUAACUACGUGCCAGCAGCCGCGGUAAUACGGAGGAUGCGAGCGUUAUCCGGAUUUAUUGGGUUUAAAGGGUGCGUAGGCGGACAGUCAAGUCAGCGGUAAAAAUGCGGUGCUCAACGCCGUACAGCCGUUGAAACUGGCAGUCUUGAGUGGGCGAGAAGUAUGCGGAAUGAGUGGUGUAGCGGUGAAAUGCAUAGAUAUCACGCAGAACUCCGAUUGCGAAGGCAGCAUACCGGCGCCCGACUGACGCUGAGGCACGAAAGCGUGGGUAUCGAACAGGAUUAGAUACCCUUGUAGUC
rnacentral:rRNA from 1 species